rnacentral:rRNA from 1 species
UUAGAGUUUGAUCCUGGCUCAGGACGAACGCUGGCGGCGCGCCUAACACAUGCAAGUCGAACGGGACUAUGCUGGAAGAAGUUUUCGGAUGGAUUUUGGUAUAGUUUAGUGGCGGACGGGUGAGUAACACGUGAGCAACCUGCCUUCGAGAGGGGAAUAACGGCUGGAAACGGUCGCUAAUACCGCAUAAUAUACAGGAGGGACAUCCCUUUUGUAUCAAAGAUUUAUCGCUCGAAGAUGGGCUCGCGUCCGAUUAGGUAGUUGGUGAGGUAACGGCCCACCAAGCCGACAAUCGGUAGCCGGACUGAGAGGUUGAACGGCCACAUUGGGACUGAGACACGGCCCAGACUCCUACGGGAGGCAGCAGUGGGGGAUAUUGUACAAUGGGGGAAACCCUGAUGCAGCGACGCCGCGUGUGGGAAGACGGUCCUCUGGAUUGUAAACCACUGUCCCCAGGGACGAAGAUGACGGUACCUGGGGAGGAAGCUCCGGCUAACUACGUGCCAGCAGCCGCGGUAAUACGUAGGGAGCAAGCGUUGUCCGGAAUUACUGGGUGUAAAGGGAGCGUAGGCGGGAUGGCAAGUUGGGUGUUAAAUCUACCGGCUCAACUGGUAGUCGCACUCAAAACUGCUAUUCUUGAGUGAAGUAGAGGCAGGCGGAAUUCCUAGUGUAGCGGUGAAAUGCGUAGAUAUUAGGAGGAACACCAGUGGCGAAGGCGGCCUGCUGGGCUUUUACUGACGCUGAGGCUCGAAAGUGUGGGGAGCAAACAGGAUUAGAUACCCUGGUAGUCCACACCGUAAACGAUGAUUACUAGGUGUGGGGGGUCUGACCCCCUCCGUGCCGGAGCAAACGCAAUAAGUAAUCCACCUGGGGAGUACGGCCGCAAGGUUGAAACUCAAAGGAAUUGACGGGGGCCCGCACAAGCAGUGGAGUAUGUGGUUUAAUUCGAAGCAACGCGAAGAACCUUACCAGGUCUUGACAUCGUGUGCAUAGCCUAGAGAUAGGUGAAGUCCUUCGGGACACACAGACAGGUGGUGCAUGGUUGUCGUCAGCUCGUGUCGUGAGAUGUUGGGUUAAGUCCCGCAACGAGCGCAACCCUUGUAUUUAGUUGCUACGCAAGAGCACUCUAGAUAGACUGCCGUUGACAAAACGGAGGAAGGUGGGGAUGACGUCAAAUCAUCAUGCCCCUUACGACCUGGGCCACACACGUACUACAAUGGCGCACAACAGAGGGAAGCAAGACAGCGAUGUGGAGCAAACCCCUAAAAUGCGUCCCAGUUCAGAUUGCAGGCUGCAACCCGCCUGCAUGAAGUCGGAAUUGCUAGUAAUCGCGGAUCAGCAUGCCGCGGUGAAUACGUUCCCGGGCCUUGUACACACCGCCCGUCA